rnacentral:rRNA from 1 species
UAUCUCUGUAGAGUCUGCAUAUCAAUAAGCGGAGGAAAAGAAACUAACAAGGAUUCCCUUAGUAACGGCGAGUGAAGCGGGAAGAGCUCAAAUUUGAAAUCUUCAAGGUUCUACCUUGACGAAUUGUAGUUUAAAGAAGUGUUUUCUGUUAGAUGAGUAGCAAAAGUUCCUUGGAAUGGGACAUCAUAGAGGGUGAGAAUCCCGUAUUUGGUUAUUCAUUCUAGCUUUGUGAUACACCUUUCAAAGAGUCGGAUUGUUUGGGAAUGCAGUCCAAAAUGGGUGGUAAAUUUCAUCUAAAGCUAAAUAUUGGCGAGAGACCGAUAGCGAACAAGUACCGUGAGGGAAAGAUGAAAAGAACUUUGAAAAGAGAGUUAAACAGUACGUGAAAUUGUCAAAAGGGAAGCGUUUGACACCAGUGUUGUUUUUCCGAAAAUCAAUUACGAAUGGCUUGAUUUUGUGUUGUAUUGACCUUAUCAGCUUUCUUCACUUUUUUCGAGUCUUUCUUAAUGCACUUUUCGGUUAACAAGUCAACAUCAAUUUCUUUUGUUGUAAAAGAGUAUUCGGAAGGUGGCUUUCUUUUCGGAGAAAGUGUUUAUAGCCCUAUACUUCUACAAUCGGAGAGAUUGAGGUCUGCAGCGUAGAUCCUUCGGGGUUAGAUACAUUUGUGCUAAGUUGUAGCUUUUCAUAGACAACUUGUUGACUAUGUUUAGUCAUGCGGCUUACUCGCUUAUGCUAUUUUACCUACGCUUAGGAUGUUGACUGAUAUGUAGUCGUA